rnacentral:rRNA from 1 species
AGGACUAACGCUGGCGGCGUGCCUAACACAUGCAAGUCGAGCGGGGUAGCAAUACCCAGCGGCAGACGGGUGAGUAACGCGUGGUCAACCUUCCGUUGAAUGGGGGAUAACUAGCCGAAAGGUUAGCUAAUACCGCAUACGAUCUUUUGAAGGCAUCUUUAAAAGAUGAAAGGAGCAAUUCGUUCAACGACGGGACCGCGUCCCAUUAGCUAGAUGGUGGGGUAAUGGCCUACCAUGGCAACGAUGGGUAGCUGGUUUGAGAGAGCGACCAGCCACACUGGGACUGAGAAACGGCCCAGACUCCUACGGGAGGCAGCAGUGAGGAAUUUUCCGCAAUGGGCGAAAGCCUGACGGAGCGACGCCGCGUGUGGGAAGAAGGCCUUCGGGUCGUAAACCACUGUCGAAGGGGACGAUAAUGACGGUACCCUUGGAGGAAGCCCCGGCUAACUACGUGCAAGCAGCCGC